GGUUGAUUGUGUUAAUGGCGAGCGAAACUGUGUACUUUCGAGCGUGAUUGCCGCUGGCAUUUUGUAGGGAGAAGACGGCUGCCCUGUGAUAAGAACUGUACGGAUUACCUUAAACAUGACUGACAAAGAUGGAUACGUCGAAAAUGUUGGUUUUCUGUACCGCACUAUGGUGGAAAGAGAUCCCAGCAAGCGGAGAGUGAAGCCUGUCGAAAAUCACCUGCAACUGCUCGAUUUUGCCGACUAUGGUGACAGUUCUGAUGACAGCGACUUUCAAAUAGAUGAUCACGAGAAAGACCUGGAAUCUGAUGAUCAAGGUGAUUCGUCGGAAAAUGUUGACGAUGACGAUGAGUCUUCUGGAACAGCUUCGGAAGAGGAAGAGAAAUUUUCUCCUGCUGAGGUGGCCAACGGUGUUGCCGAGCCUAAUGAAACUAAGAAAGUCCCCAAGCUUAUCGUCGGUGACCUCAUUGAGAGGGCAAGGCAAAGGCAAAGUCAAGCACGACAGCGAAUAUCUGGCGAAGGCGAAUCUUCCCUGAAGCUGAAAAUCACUAUCUGUGCUGUCUGCCUUGGUGAUAUAAGCAUAGAAGACGAUGAAAUUGUCGAGUGCGAUUGCUGUGGUGUGUCUGUUCAUGAAGGAUGCUACGGUAUUACGGACAGCGACUCGGUCAUGAGCACGGGCUCCUCCAGUUCGACAGAGCCGUGGUUUUGUGAUGCUUGCCGAGCUGGGCAGAAAGAGCCUAUUUGUGAACUCUGCCCGAACAGUGGAGGCAUAUUCAAAGAAACGGACGUUGGCAAGUGGGUGCACCUGGUUUGUGCAUUGUACAUCCCAGGGGUAGCCUUUGGCAAUGUGGAGAAGCUCACUCCUGUGACUCUGUUCGAGAUGCCCUACUCACGAUGGGGCGCCAAGUCAUGUGUGCUGUGUGAAGACGAGCGCCUCAGCCGCACUGGAGUGUGCAUCACGUGCGAUGCCGGCAUGUGCAAAGCGUCGUUCCAUGUGACCUGUGCCCAGAGGGAAGGCUUGCUUUCCGAAGCUUCAAUGGAGGAGAUUGCAGAUCCUUUCUUCGCCUACUGCAAGCUGCAUGCUGACAAGAUGAUUGUUCGAAGCAAACGAAGGAACUGGCUUGCGCUGCAGUCACGCAACAGGAAUCAAGCCGCUGGACCUCAAGAUGCUAGGGAGAAGGCACGUGUGGAACGCAAGCUGGCGUGGCAUCGCGAGCGCUACCAACGCCAUCGCGCCGAACGGCCCCCACCUUGGGUGCCGACACAGAAGAUGGCGCGCCUGCUGACGAGCAGUCCGUGGGCAUGCCGACAGCUGUUGCGCAAGGCCCAGCUCAUGGGCGUGUCGCAGCCGGGUCACCUGGCAGCCGAAGGGGUGGCGGAUGCCCGCCGCAAGUGGCAUGUGCCGCCCGCCUUCAGCCUCGAGUUUGUCAGUUACUACCUGGAUCGCGACAUUCGUAUGUCAACCAUGAGGCGGCACUUGGACGAGCUUUUGCAGCAGAACUCGGAGCUUCAAGACCAGGAGCAGGGGCUCAGGCGAAAGUAUGACCAGGCGAUUGUCCAACUGGAGGAGUUGAAGAAGGAGCACAAUCACAUGCACGAGCUAGGCGUGCAGUACUGGAAGAUGCUGUGUGACAUAACCAACAAGAAGCUUCCUAUGCCAGAAGUACUUGAAGUUAGGAAGCCAGCAGCCAAGCCAGCCAGCCGAACUAGCCGGAGGUCCGAUUCCGGGUCAUCAUUCCUUUUUGAAUGCGGUGUUUGCAAGAAAUCUCAGGACCAGCAUCAGCUUGCCAAGUGCGACAAGUGCCAGCUACACUACCACCUCUACUGCCUUGACCCACCACUCACCAGGAUGCCAAAGAAGACCAAGUCAAUGGGAUGGCAGUGUAGCGGAUGCAACAAGAACUCUGAUGAGGACAAGGAGAGGCAUUGCGACCCCAAUGCACCACGGCGUUUGCGAGAUCAGCCCCGUGGCACACUCCGCUAUGAGGACUUCCCGUUCAUUGAGAGCCCCAGAAAGUUGCAGCCCAGUCGUCUGAGCCGUCGUGUGCGACAGUCACAAACCUGCAUUGUGCCAGACUCUCCCAAGGCCACCACUCCCACAUUAGCGAACCCCGUUGCGGCUGCUGCUGCUGCCCUCACCCCCACGGUUACCGUCCCUAGUACUUCCACCACAACGGUGGCAACUCCCGCUACACAAAUCCCGGCAGCUGUUGGUGACGAGUCAUUGGCAAAUUCAACAGAGCCUUCAGACGUGGUCUCCCAGAGCUCCGUUAUGAAGCGGCAGCGAAGCUCGACGGGUCCAGGGAAGCGCCCUCGCCGUCGCCUGGCCCCCGAAAUGCAGGCGUACCGCAAAGCAAAGCGAGUCAAACGCAAGUCCGCACCUGCGGUCGUGGCACCAGUGCCACCUGUGACAACACCUGCUCCACCUGCUCCUCCGGUUCCAAAAAGCGAACCCUCCACACCGUACAUCGAGGCCGUCCCUGGUGUGUCUGGGAUUCGCAUGCCGGUGAAGAGAACUCCGCUGGACAAAGACUUGAGGGUGGAAUGCAAACGGUGUGGCAACCCGGGCGACUGCACAAAUCUUGUUGUCUGUGAUGAGUGCAAGAAAGGAUACCACUUCCUCUGCCUGUAUCCGCCCGUGCGGAAGAGCCCGAAGCAGCGCGGUUACACCUGGAACUGUGAAGAGUGCAACUCAUCGUAGGAGCAGCGACGCAUGCACCUUUAAGCGCUGCAAGAACACAGUAAGCGUCAACGCUCCUUUAAUUGAUGAAGAGGAUU
rnacentral:misc_RNA from 1 species